UAUGUGAUCGUCUCUCGCAUAUCAAUAAGCGGAGGAAAAGAAACUAACAAGGAUUCCCCUAGUAACGGCGAGUGAAGCGGGAAGAGCUCAAAUUUGAAAUCUUAAAGGGUUUCCCUUUACGAAUUGUAGUUUAAAGAAGUGUUUUCUGUUGAGGUUUUGGUAAAAGUUCUUUGGAAUAGGACAUCAUAGAGGGUGAGAAUCCCGUAUUUGACCUUUACUUUCAACUUUGUGAUACACUUUCAAAGAGUCGGAUUGUUUGGGAAUGCAGUCCAAAAUGGGUGGUAAAUUUCAUCUAAAGCUAAAUAUUGGCGGAGAGACCGAUAGCGAACAAGUACCGUGAGGGAAAGAUGAAAAGAACUUUGAAAAGAGAGUUAAACAGUACGUGAAAUUGUCAAAAGGGAAGCGUUUGACACCAGUGUUGUUUUUCUGAAAAUCAAUUAAAGAACUGUUUAUGCUAAGCUUGUUUAGACUUUAUCAGCUAAUCUGUUUAGUUUUGAGCUUUUCUUUAAUGCACUUUUCAGUUAACAAGUCAACAUCAAUUUCUUUUGCUGUAAAAAAGCUUGAGGAAGGUGGCUUGAGAUUCGUCUUAAGUGUUUAUAGCCUCUUGCCUAUGCAGUCGGAGAGAUUGAGGUCUGCAGCGUAGAUCCUUCGGGGCUAAAUGCAUUUGUGCUAAGUUAUAGCAUUUUAUAGACAACUUGUUGACUAUGAUUUGUCUUGUAGCUUACUCGCUUAUGUUAUUUUACCUACGCUUAGGAUGUUGAUAUGCAUGACUGAUAU
rnacentral:rRNA from 1 species